rnacentral:rRNA from 1 species
AACGAACGCUGGCGGCGUGCUUAAGACAUGCAAGUCGAACGGUAAGGCCCCCUUCGGGGGGUACACGAGUGGCGCACGGGUGAGUAACACGUGGGUAAUCUACCUUCAGGUCUGGGACAACUCCGGGAAACUGGAGCUAAUACCGGAUGAGACCACAGGGCCUUCGGGUCUGGUGGGAAAAGAUGGCCUCUUCAUGAAAGCUAUCGCUCGAAGAUGAGCCCGCGUCGCAUUAGUUAGUUGGUGAGGUAACGGCUCACCAAGACGAAGAUGCGUAGCUGGUCUGAGAGGAUGACCAGCCACACUGGAACUGAGACACGGUCCAGACUCCUACGGGUGGCAG